UACGUAGGGGGCAAGCGUUGUCCGGAAUCAUUGGGCGUAAAGCGCGUGUAGGCGGCUCGAUAAGUCCGCUCUGAAAGUCCAGGGCUCAACCCUGGGAUGCGGGUGGAUACUGUCGGGCUCGAGUCCGGAAGAGGCGAGUGGAAUUCCUGGUGUAGCGGUGAAAUGCGCAGAUAUCAGGAAGAACACCCGUGGCUAAGGCGGCUCUCUAGUACGGUACUGGACGCUGAGACGCGAAAGCGUGGGGAGCGAACAGG
rnacentral:rRNA from 1 species